rfam:Nematostella vectensis strain CH2 x CH6 NEMVEscaffold_221_Cont19527, whole genome shotgun sequence.
GCCAUGCUGACGAGUCCUAACAAGGACGAAACAGCUGUCCAUGGU